AGUUAAGACAGAGAACAAGAAACAACUUAAAUUAAAUACCGGACGUAUUGGACACGAGGAAAACACAAACAUGUUUUCAGGGUUUUUCGCCGCAAUGUUGGUGAUUGUUAUCAUCAUCGUAAUUUUAAUAUGUACCGCCUUGACCAAUGUAUCGGACUUCAAUGGCAAAUACAAAAAUGUCUUUAAAUGGAAUAAAAAAAAACAACAAGCUGAAAUUGUGACAGACUAUUAUCAAAAAGGCUUUAAUGAAAAAUAUUCCAAAAACUUUAGCCAUCAAGGAGAAAAUAUCCCCUGGAUUAUUUCAAUUUUACUUGUUUUACUUGAUUUACUUAAUAAAUAUUUGGUGGAAAAUGGCUAUAUCUCGGUAGCAAAAAGGAUUGUGAAGAAAAAGAGAAACAAAUUUCAACGAGCUCUAAAAUUCACCUAUACAAAUUCUCCAAAAAUAAUAUUCGGCGUUGGUGUUGGACUAUUACACGUCCUCACUUGUUUGGCCUCUUUUUAAAUAAAUUUAUUAAUAAUGAAGUUUUAUAUCUAAACAUACAUACAUAUAUUUUAUUCAACAUUUAUUUUGUAUUUUUUUUUUUUGUUUAAUUAAAACAGAGCAAUAACUAAAAACUA